rnacentral:misc_RNA from 1 species
UUUUAAACUUCUAAUGUUUUUUGGUAAUGAACAAGUUACUAAGAUAACACACACACACACACAUACUAAUUUAAAGUUCUAAUGUUUUUGGGUAAUGAACAAGUUACUAAGAGAAGGGAUGUAUUUAGAAAGAAGAGAUGGGCAAUGAAGCAAACGGAGAAACUAAGAGUGACUUUGGUGGCAUAAGAUAGUGAUAGCGGCUAUAAACAAAGUUGGCAUUUUGGGGUUUUGUAGAGGAGGUAGUUUAAGGACAAAGAAGAGAAGACAAAGAUUUGAGAGUUUGGGGAGAGAAAGAAAGAGGUUAUUGAAAGAUGGAAAUGUGGUAGAGAGAUCCAGAAUCAGAACAGCAAUCAGAGUGAGUUAAGGGAAGGAUAGCAAUUAGGAUAUGAAGCGGAACAAAUUCAUGCAGAAAGGAGCAUGAAAUCUAAAUCCAGAAAGGCAAUGCCAAUUCUCAGUUAAAAUUUUAAGUCACUUCAAAAUGAAAUUGCUAUGAAACAAAACUUUGAAAGAAGGAGGAGGACUUCCAAUCAAUUGGACCCCUCAUGAGCAACUUUUGCUACCAAAAAGAGUGUAAAAAUGCCAUAUUAGCAUCUCCAAAUUAGAAAAUCGGUUAUAUACUGAUUUAGCUGUGACUAAUUUUUAAUAAAGUAAUUUUAAUGGCACAGAAAA